UUGUCAUUUGGUCUCUUUUUACAUCCAGAAGCGGCUCACUAGUUUAGAUUGUCACUUGCCAUCACCAUACAGAAGUUUGCCUAAGCAUAGAAUGAAGGAGAUCAAUGAAUGUCUGAAAACAAUAGGAUGUUAUCCAAUCCUUGGUUCCUGUUUUACAUAAGAAAGAUAUUUCCUGACAAAUGCAGUCAGAAGGAGAGGCUUUCCAGUUACUGUACCCAAGAAGAUGAUAACAGAGAUUAAUAGCACUGAAGAUAUUAAACACUUAUGGGUGGUAGCAAAGAGCAAGCAGCACAAUUAUGCUGAGUAGAAGCAAUGGUGUGCUUGGUCAACAUUGUCAAGAGAUGGUGAAACUGAAGAAGAAUGAAAACUGAAAAAAGGCAACAGAAUUUAGCAGAAAGUCCUUUGAGCAUGACAAGGUGCUUCCCAGACUCUGAAGACCUCCAGUGAUGGUGAGAAGUCAGGAUUGCAGACACAGAUGCUGAAGGUCAUUUGGAUUUGGCAGGUACUACACAGAGUGAUCUCAAUUCUCUGUCACAGACCCCCAGAGAUCACAGAGAGCACUUUUCUUCCUUCUGAUCAAUCCUAAGGUAACCCCAACAUAGAGUUCAAGAAC